rnacentral:rRNA from 1 species
UCGGGAAUUUUGGGCAAUGGGGGAAACCCUGACCCAGCAACGCCGCGUGAAGGAUGAAGUAUUUCGGUAUGUAAACUUCGAAAGAAUAGGAAGAAUAAAUGACGGUACUAUUUAUAAGGUCCGGCUAACUACGUGCCAGCAGCCGCGGUAAUACGUAGGGACCAAGCGUUGUUCGGAUUUACUGGGCGUAAAGGGCGCGUAGGCGGCAUGACAAGUCACUUGUGAAAUCUCUGGGCUUAACCCAGAACGGCCAAGUGAUACUGUCGCGCUAGAGUGCAGAAGGGGCAAUCGGAAUUCUUGGUGUAGCGGUGAAAUGCGUAGAUAUCAAGAGGAACACCUGAGGUGAAGACGGGUUGCUUGGCUGACACUGACGCUGAGGCGCGAAAGCCAGGGGAGCAAACGGGAUUAGAUACCCAAGUAGUCCCUGAGCGGGCUGGCAAGGCGCAU